CAUAGCACAACAAAGUGACUCUGAAGAUUCUUCGGAUGAGUCAUUUGUCGAUACCUCUGCUGGAUAUCGCAAGUUUGAAGAGGCAAAACAAUGUGCAUUGGAUAUCUUUGAUAGUGUUGGGAACCUCCUUUCAAGAGUGGAUGAUGCUAUUUCUGGUGCACCAGAAAAUAUUCGAGAUAUUUUUACAGAAUGCAGGGAUACGAAGAGUUGGUUUUCAGAAAGCCGAAAAAUUUUGGAAAAGGAAAAGAUGAAGGUCGUUGUAUU